AUUUUCCCCGCUCUCCCCUCACUCGCCGUGGUAAAACAAUGGCGCUCCAUCUCGCGCGACCGUUCCUCCCCGCCGGCCUCCCGCCGCCGCCGCGCCGCCGCGCUCGUGCCCGACCACGUUCCCUCUCCCCCACCGCCGACGCGCGGUCCCCGUGCUUCAAGAGACCCUACACGUCCGUCCUGGUGGUCCCCACGGGGGUCGGCGCAGCCGUCGGGGGCUUCGCCGGCGACGCCCUCCCCGUGGCGCGCGCCCUCGCCGCCGUCGCCGAAUGCGUCAUCUCCCACCCCAACGUGCUCAACGCCGCGAUGCUCUACUGGCCGAUGCCCAAUACGCUCUACGUGGAGGGAUACGCCCUCGACAGGUUCGCGGAAGGCGCCUGGGCUCUCCAGCCGGUCCACCAGAACAAGGUAGGCUUGGUGCUGGACUCCGGGAUCGAGGAGGAGCUCCGGCUCCGGCAUUUGCAGGUCGCCGAUGCGGCGAGGGCUUCGCUCGGCCUCCCUGUUGUCGAGUGCACCGUCACCGAUGCUCCUUUGGAGAUCAAGACGUGGUUCGAUCCGAAGUGCGGGAAAUCAACCGGGAGCGUUGGGAACUCCGGUUCCCUGUUAAGAGCGGUCGACGCACUAGUGAACCAUGCAGGCGUGAAUGCUGUGGCUGUUGUUGCGCGCUUUCCUGACGACGAUCCUGAAGAUUCAGAUUGCUAUAGGGAAGGAAAGGGAGUUGAUCUGUUAGCCGGAGUUGAAGCAAUCAUCAGUCAUCUAAUUGUGAAAGAAUUCCAAAUUCCUGCUGCUCACGCUCCUGCGGUGCUGCCCCCACCACUCAGCCCAUCAGUGUCCCCAAGAUCUGCUGCUGAAGAGAUUGGUUAUACCUUUCUACCAUGUGUGCUCGCUGGUUUAAGCACUGCUCCUCAGUAUGUGACGAGGAGGCAGGAAACCUUGGACAGUGGUUGUAUAGUGGCUAGCGAUGUUGAUAGUGUGAUUCUUCCGAGAGAUGCCUGUGGAGGUGAUGGUGCUCUUGCCUUUUCUCGAACUGCAAGAAAGAACAAGCCCUUAAUCAUUACCAUUCAGGAAAAUGAGACGGUGCUCGAUGACACCCCUGAUAAAUUCAACAUUGAAGCGCUGAAUGUCCAGAACUACUGGGAAGCAAUUGGAGUUAUUGCUGCUCACAAGGCAGGCAUCAAUCCAAAUGCUCUUAGAAAACAAGGAAUUGACCAUCUUAAGAGCCAUCGACGAUUGUACUCUGCCCGAUCUUCUGGUCCUAGGCCAUACACCUCUUCUGGAAUGCAGGAUAAAGUAUAUGUACACCAGUUAGUUUGACAAUUUAGUACAGAAGAAAUCAGUUUUAGCAAAUAGGAGGCUGCAAAUUUUGAAGUCCCAGGUACAUAUUCCACAACAGUAGGAGCAUACAUAUGUAACUUUAUUUCGUCGUCACCCCAUGAGGAAUUACAUCGAUAUGCAUACGCGUGUGCAGUGUCAUUGUGAUCAUGGAUGUUGUACUCGAAGCCAUUCUUCAGAUCAAUUAAUUGCUUCAGUUUCUGAGACAGGGGCAGUGCUAUGCUCACCGUCCGCCACACAAGCGUCAUGCUGAUUGCUGAGGGCAUUUAUGUCUUAAUGUGUCAUUCUGCGCUCUCAAAUCGUCGACUCUCUGAUGUUGCUAUCUGCGUCUACUCAGAAGUCAGAAUACGCAUGUUUGCCAGAGUGGGUAGUUGCUGCUUUUGCUUGCUUGUUCCAACUACCAAUCAAACUGGACCUUCAACCUUAGAUAAGGUGCAGCUUAUGACUUGCUGUUCGUGUGUGUUGGUGUGCUAGAUGCCUGUUGUUGAAGUACAUAUCUACCUGAUUUGCACUUCACAAGUAGAUUUUGUGGCUUUAAAUAGUAGUAAGAUCUUUUUGCAGCAUAGUUUCUUUUUCUCACUAGCAUAGUUUAUGCUUUUCAGUGGUUAUAUAUGUCAUCUUUCUUGGUUCUAGAAGUUCCAAGUUAGAUGAUAGGUUGGUGGCAGUCCUUCCUGAAGUUCCUUCAACCUUUGUUAGAACAGCUGGUAUCAGGAUGAACAACCUGACUAU
rnacentral:rRNA from 1 species